GACGCGGCGGCGUGCCUAAUACAUGCAAGUCGAACGAAACUUUCUUACACCGAAUGCUUGCAUUCACCGUAAGAAGUUGAGUGGCGGACGGGUGAGUAACACGUGGGUAACCUGCCUAAAAGAAGGGGAUAACACUUGGAAACAGGUGCUAAUACCGUAUAUCUCUAAGGAUCGCAUGAUCCUUAGAUGAAAGAUGGUUCUGCUAUCGCUUUUAGAUGGACCCGCGGCGUAUUAACUAGUUGGUGGGGUAACGGCCUACCAAGGUGAUGAUACGUAGCCGAACUGAGAGGUUGAUCGGCCACAUUGGGACUGAGACACGGCCCAAACUCCUACGGGAGGCAGCAGUAGGGAAUCUUCCACAAUGGACGCAAGUCUGAUGGAGCAACGCCGCGUGAGUGAAGAAGGUCUUCGGAUCGUAAAACUCUGUUGUUAGAGAAGAACACGAGUGAGAGUAACUGUUCAUUCGAUGACGGUAUCUAACCAGCAAGUCACGGCUAACUACGUGCCAGCAGCCGCGGUAAUACGUAGGUGGCAAGCGUUGUCCGGAUUUAUUGGGCGUAAAGGGAACGCAGGCGGUCUUUUAAGUCUGAUGUGAAAGCCUUCGGCUUAACCGGAGUAGUGCAUUGGAAACUGGAAGACUUGAGUGCAGAAGAGGAGAGUGGAACUCCAUGUGUAGCGGUGAAAUGCGUAGAUAUAUGGAAGAACACCAGUGGCGAAAGCGGCUCUCUGGUCUGUAACUGACGCUGAGGUUCGAAAGCGUGGGUAGCAACAGGAUAGA
rnacentral:rRNA from 2 species